rnacentral:rRNA from 1 species
GUGUGUUAGUGGAACGGUCUGGAAAGUCCGACGGUACAGGGUGAUAGUCCCGUACACCAAAAUGCACAGGCUGUGAACUCGAAGAGUAGGGCGGGACACGUGGUAUCCUGUCUGAAUAUGGGGGGACCAUCCUCCAAGGCUAAAUACUCCUGACUGACCGAUAGUGAACCAGUACCGUGAGGGAAAGGCGAAAAGAACCCCGGCGAGGGGAGUGAAAAAGAACCUGAAACCGUGUACGUACAAGCAGUGGGAGCACCUUCGGGUGUGACUGCGUACCUUUUGUAUAAUGGGUCAGCGACUUAUAUUCUGUAGCAAGGUUAACCGUAUAGGGGAGCCGCAGGGAAACCGAGUCUUAACUGGGCGUUAAGUUGCAGGGUAUAGACCCGAAACCCGGUGAUCUAGCCAUGGGCAGGUUGAAGGUUGGGUAACACUAACUGGAGGACCGAACCGACUAAUGUUGAAAAAUUAGCGGAUGACUUGUGGCUGGGGGUGAAAGGCCAAUCAAACCGGGAGAUAGCUGGUUCUCCCCGAAAGCUAUUUAGGUAGCGCCUCGUGAAYUCAUCUUCGGGGGUAGAGCACUGUUUCGGCUAGGGGGUCAUCCCGACUUACCAACCCGAUGCAAACUACGAAUACCGAAGAAUGUUAUCACGGGAGACACACGGCGGGUGCUAACGUCCGUCGUGAAGAGGGAAACAACCCAGACCGCCAGCUAAGGUCCCAAAGUCAUGGUUAAGUGGGAAACGAUGUGGGAAGGCACAGACAGCCAGGAUGUUGGCUUAGAAGCAGCCAUCAUUUAAAGAAAGCGUAAUAGCUCACUGGUCGAGUCGGCCUGCGCGGAAGAUGUAACGGGGCUAAACCAUGCACCGAAGCUGCGGCAGCGACACUAUGUGUUGUUGGGUAGGGGAGCGUUCUGUAAGCCUGCGAAGGUGWSCUGUGAGGSWUGCUGGAGGUAUCAGAAGUGCGAAUGCUGACAUAAGUAACGAUAAAGCGGGUGAAAAGCCCGCUCGCCGGAAGACCAAGGGUUCCUGUCCAACGUUAAUCGGGGCAGGGUGAGUCGACCCCUAAGGCGAGGCCGAAAGGCGUAGUCGAUGGGAAACAGGUUAAUAUUCCUGUACUUGGUGUUACUGCGAAGGGGGGACGGAGAAGGCUAUGUUAGCCGGGCGACGGUUGUCCCGGUUUAAGCAUGUAGGCUGRUUGUCCAGGCAAAUCCGGAUAAUCAAGGCUGAGGUGUGAUGACGAGGCACUACGGUGCUGAAGUAACAAAUGCCCUGCUUCCAGGAAAAGCCUCUAAGCAUCAGGUAACAUYAAAUCGUACCCCAAACCGACACAGGUGGUCAGGUAGAGAAUACCAAGGCGCUUGAGAGAACUCGGGUGAAGGAACUAGGCAAAAUGGUGCCGUAACUUCGGGAGAAGGCACGCUGGUGUGUAGGUGAAGYCCCUGCGGRUGGAGCUGAGACCAGUCGAAGAUACCAGCUGGCUGCAACUGUUUAUUAAAAACACAGCACUGUGCAAACACGAAAGUGGACGUAUACGGUGUGACGCCUGCCCGGUGCCGGAAGGUUAAUUGAUGGGGUUAUCCGUAAGGAGAAGCUCUUGAUCGAAGCCCCGGUAAACGGCGGCCGUAACUAUAACGGUCCUAAGGUAGCGAAAUUCCUUGUCGGGUAAGUUCCGACCUGCACGAAUGGCGUAAUGAUGGCCAGGCUGUCUCCACCCGAGACUCAGUGAAAUUGAACUCGCUGUGAAGAUGCAGUGUACCCGCGGCAAGACGGAAAGACCCCGUGAACCUUUACUAUAGCUUGACACUGAACAUUGAGCCUUGAUGUGUAGGAUAGGUGGGAGGCUUUGAAGCGUGGACGCCAGUCUGCGUGGAGCCAACCUUGAAAUACCACCCUUUAAUGUUUGAUGUUCUAACGUUGGCCCCUKACCGGGGUUGCGGACAGUGUCUGGUGGGUAGUUUGACUGGGGCGGUCUCCUCCCAAAGCGUAACGGAGGAGCACGAAGGUUAGCUAAUCCUGGUCGGACAUCAGGAGGUUAGUGCAAUGGCAUAAGCUAGCUUGACUGCGAGCGUGACGGCGCGAGCAGGUGCGAAAGCAGGUCAUAGUGAUCCGGUGGUUCUGAAUGGAAGGGCCAUCGCUCAACGGAUAAAAGGUACUCCGGGGAUAACAGGCUGAUACCGCCCAAGAGUUCAUAUCGACGGCGGUGUUUGGCACCUCGAUGUCGGCUCAUCACAUCCUGGGGCUGAAGUAGGUCCCAAGGGUAUGGCUGUUCGCCAUUUAAAGUGGUACGCGAGCUGGGUUUAGAACGUCGUGAGACAGUUCGGUCCCUAUCUGCCGUGGGCGCUGGAGAAUUGAGGGGGGCUGCUCCUAGUACGAGAGGACCGGAGUGGACGCAUCACUGGUGUUCGGGUUGUCAUGCCAAUGGCACUGCCCGGUAGCUAAAUGCGGAAGAGAUAAGUGCUGAAAGCAUCUAAGCACGAAACUUGCCCCGAGAUGAGUUCUCCCUGAGACUUUAAG